CCUACGGGAGGCAGCAGUAGGGAAUAUUGCUCAAUGGGGGAAACCCUGAAGCAGCAACGCCGCGUGGGGGAUGAAGGUUUUCGGAUCGUAAACUCCUUUUGUUAGAGAAGAUAAUGACGGUAUCUAACGAAUAAGCACCGGCUAAAUCCGUGCCAGCAGCCGCGGUAAUACGGAGGGUGCAAGCGUUACUCGGAAUCACUGGGCGUAAAGAGCGCGUAGGCGGGAUUGCAAGUCAGAUGUGAAAUCCUAUGGCUUAACCAUAGUACUGCAUUUGAAACUGUUAUUCUAGAGUAUGGGAGAGGUAGGUGGAAUUCUUGGUGUAGGGGUAAAAUCCGUAGAGAUCAAGAGGAAUACUCAUUGCGAAGGCGACCUGCUAGAACAUAACUGACGCUGAUGCGCGAAAGCGUGGGGAGCAAACAGGAUUAGAUACCCCAGUAGUC
rnacentral:rRNA from 1 species